rnacentral:rRNA from 1 species
AACUAAAAUUAGCCCAAACCUCAACUCACACAUCUACCCCAACAAAUAUUAAAACAAAACAUUUAUACUGAUUAAAGUAUAGGCGAUAGAAAUAAGGCUUGGCGCUAUAGAGAGAGUACCGCAAGGGAAAAAAUGAAAGAAUAUUAAAAGUAAAAAACAGCAAAGCUUAGCCCUUGUACCUUUUGCAUAAUGAUUCAACUAGAAUACUACUAGCAAAAAGAAUUAAAGUUAAAUAACCCGAAAUCAGACGAGCUACCCCUCAGCAGCUUAAAGAGCAAACUCAUCUAUGUGGCAAAAUAGUGAGACGACUGUCGGGUAGAGGCGACAAACCUACCGAGCCUGAUGAUAGCUGGUUGUCCAGAACAGAAUCUCAGUUCUAACCUAACUCUGCCAAAAAACAGACAAAUUAAAAUGUAGAGUUAAGUAUUAAUCUAAGAGGGUACAGCCUAUUAGACACGGGAUACAACCCCUAUCAGAGAGUAAGACAAAAAAACCACAAUAGUUGGCCUAAAAGCAGCCACCAAAUAAGAUAGCGUUCAAGCUCAAUAGUAUAUCAAAACUAAUACCAAUCACAGCAACCUACACUCCUGAUACAAAUACUGGACCAUUCUAUUAUCAAAUAGAAGCGACAAUGUUGAUAUGAGUAACAAGAAACACUUCUCCUAGCACACGUGUAUAUCAGGACGAAUAACUCGCUGAUAGUUACCAAAACCAGCAUGACCUAAUGACUUAUAACCCCGCCAUCAAUUGUUAACCCAACACAGGAGUGCAACCAAGGAAAGAUUAAAAAAAGCAAAAGGAACUCGGCAAACAUAACCCCGCCUGUUUACCAAAAACAUCACCUCUGGCAUAAAAAGUAUCAGAGGCACUGCCUGCCCAGUGACCCCAGUUCAACGGCCGCGGUACCCUGACCGUGCAAAGGUAGCAUAAUCACUUGUUCCCUAAAUAGGGACUUGCAUGAAUGGCCACACGAGGGUUGCACUGUCUCUUGCUUUCAAUCAGUGAAAUUGACAUUCUCGUGAAGAGGCGAGAAUAAAAAAAUUAGACGAGAAGACCCUAUGGAGCUUUAAUUAACUAACUCACAACAACCCCUAAAACCACUCGAAAGAAAUAAGCUCUACUAGACUGAGUUAGCAAUUUAGGUUGGGGCGACCUCGGGAUAAAAAUAAACUCCCGAGAAAAAUACAUCAAGACCUACCAGUCAAAAUUAUAGUACUACACAUUGAUCCACUAUUAGUGAUCAACGGAACAAGUUACCCUAGGGAUAACAGCGCAAUCCUAUUUAAGAGUCCAUAUCGACAAUUUAGGGUUUACGACCUCGAUGUUGGAUCAGGACAUCCCAAUGGUGCAGCAGCUAUUAAUGUGUUCGUUUGUUCAACGAUUAAAGUCCUACGUGAUCUGAGUUCAGACCGGAGUAAUCCAGGUCGGUUUCUAUCUAUUUACAAGCCCCUCCCAGUACGAAAGGACAAGAGAGGCAGGGCCCACCUACGAUUAGGCGCCCUAAUUAAAUAGAUGAAUUAAUCUUAAUCUCAUAACAUCCACAUACUGCCCGAGAACUAGGGCCUAA